AUGACUGGGGGCGGGGGGCGGACGAGGGGCGGAGACCGAGGGCGUUUGGAGAGCUUUCUGCAGAAACUAUCCUAAGCCCAGCUGGGUUUCUCAGACCGCCCCAAAGGAUUUCUCAGAGACGCCACCCCAGCCGCUGCUUUUCCGGCCGACUUUGCUCUUCCUCUUCCCUCGCGGGGAGACCCACGUACCGCGUGCUCUGGAGGCGGACCCCCGCCCCAGCAUCCAGCCUCAUUGACUCCCGCCCACCUGCCCCCCAGAGCAGGAGCCGCCCCUGCCCCGGCUUUCUGAGGCGCAAGUCCUGAGAGGGCGCCUACGUUUAGCGCGCCUGGGCCCGUCGUGACACUUCCCGUGGAGUGGGGCGAAAGUCUGGGGAGAAUCGCCUUGCCACGGGCAAGAACCGAAUUUCUCGUUGCCUUUAUCUGCUUCCUUUCUCACAAUGUCUAGAUUUCCCCCAUGCACCCUCGAGCACCAGCCCUCAGAGCAUGAGGAGCCUCUUAAGGCUCCACAGAGCGAACUGCCCCGCGCUCAGGCCGAUGCCCAGGCCGUGGGUUCCACUUGACGGGGAUUAUUUUAAACUGUUACCAGCAAUUCACCGUCACCGGCAGCCCAGCCCGCACAGUACCUUGCCAGAGGCGAAACAGGAUCCGUGGUGGUGCAGUGGAAGGUCGGAGUUUCGAACCCACCAGCCACUUCAUAGGAGAAGGAUGUGGCAGCCUGCUUCCAUGAAGAUUACAGCCUCGGAAACUCUAUGGGGAGACUCUCCUCCAUCCUGUAGGGCUGCUAUGGGUUGGAAUCAACUUGAUGGCAACAGGCCCGUUGUUGCUGUGUCCUGCGUUGCCUUCUGCUUGGUUACAUCUGGAGCCUUGGCACCUGCUUCUCCCUCUGCUUGGAACACUCUGUCCCAGAGCGUUACUUGGCUGACUCCUUGUCAAUCAAAUCUUGGUUCAAAUGAUACUUCUUCAGAGAGGUCUUCCCUGACCACCCAUUCUAGCAUAUCAAAAAAAAAAUUUUUUUUUUUCAUUCCCUCAUCCCUAUUUUGGAAAACCCAGUGGCAUAGUAGCUAAGAGCUAUGGCUGCUAGCCAAAAAGUUGGCGGUUCAAAUCCACCAGGUGCUCCUUUGAAACUCUAUGGGGCAGUUCUACUCUGUGCCAUAGGGUCGCUAUGAGUCGGAAUCGACUCAACGGCAAUGGGUUUGGGUUUUUGUUUUUGUUUUUUUUUCCUUAUCCCUGAGUUAAAAAACUAUCUUGCCCAUUCACCUGUUACUUGUUUAUCAUUUGUCUCCCCACCAGACUCUGUGUCACUCAUCUCAAGAGCAGAGACCCUGGGCUGGUUCACAGCUGUAUCCCCAGCUCCUAGAACAGUGCCUUGUCCAAGCUGAAUAACUCUUGGUUGAGUGAAGGAAUGAAUGAAUGACUAUUAUUGUUUAUUUAAAUAAUGUUCUCUAAAUACUGAGCUGGCAGUAUCAAUGUAUACAUAUAGUGAGGCUGGAAAUGACCAACUUGAGAAAUCCAAGCUCUUUCUAAAAAACCACUUCAGUUUUGUAAAUGGCAGGCAUACUGACAGAAAAGACCUUGGGACUGCUUUCCCCCUGUACCUACGGUGUCUGCCAGCCUCCUGGCGUUUAACAGCACUGCAGAAGCUCGACUCAUGUAGCAAGCCCCAGUGCUGGGUCAGUGAGUACCCCUAUUAUUCCUUACCUAACAGAUGCUUUGAGGCACUGGUGGUUCAGCGGUAGCAUUCUCACCUUCCAUGUGGGAGAUCCAGGUUCAAUUCCCGGCCAGCGUAUCUCAUGUGCAGCCACCACCUGUCUGUCAGUGGAGGUUUACACGUUGCUACAAUGCUGAGCAGGUUUCAUCAGAGCGUCCAGACUAGGAAGGACUAGAAAGAAAGGCUUGGUGAUCCGUUUCCGAUAGGUGGCCCAUAAAAAUCCCAUGAAUCACAACAAUCCAAUCUGCCAUGGAUCAUGGAGAUGGCGCAGAACCAGGAGGCAUUUCCUUCAGUCUCGCAUGGGGCCACCAUGAGUCACCGGUCAACUACAACAACAAUAGCAGCAAAUGCUUUAGUCAGAAACAUUCUUGGAAGCAGCUCCAGUUGUGUUUGUGUCAUAUGAUCCCUCUACACCUGUCCCUGGACAAGCAGACAAGAGGCUGCAAGGAAAGAAGAACUGUCUACCAUUGAAUCGUACACUUCAAACGGAUGAAUUGUAUGGUAUGUGAACUAUAUCAGUGAAGCUGUUACUGAUGAAGAUCAAAGACCACAGCCUUCAGUAUGGAUUGCACCUCAACAUAAAGAAAACAAAAAUCCUCACAACUGGACCAAUAAGCAAUGUCAUGAUAAACAGAAAAUAUUGAAGAUGUCAAGAAUUUCAUUUUACUUGGAUCCACAAUCAGUGCCCUUGGAAACAGCAGUCAAGACAUGUUAUCAGUAGGGAUUGGUCCCUGGAGAAGGACAUCAUGCUUGAUAAAGAAGAGGGUCAGAGAAAAAGAGGAAGAGCCUCAACAAAAUGAAUUGACACAGUGGAUGCAACAAUGGGCUCAAAUUUAGCAAUGAUUGUGAGGAUGAUGCAGGAUCAGGCAGUGUUUUGCACUGUUGUACAUAGGGUCAGUAUGAGUUGGAACUGAGUCGAUGGCUAUCACCAAAAAAAAAAAAACCCCAAAAAUCUGGGCCGUCUAA